rnacentral:rRNA from 1 species
CCCUUAGAGUUUGAUCCUGGCUCAGAACGAACGCUGGCGGCGUGGAUAAGACAUGCAAGUCGAACGGGGUUUAGUAGCAAUACUGAAUUCAGUGGCGGACGGGUGCGUAACACGUGAACAAUCUGCCCGGAAGAGGGGGAUAGCCCAGGGAAACUUGGAUUAAUACCCCGUGUGGUACAGGUGGGCAUCCAUCUGACACCAAAGGUGCUGCAAGGUGCCGCUUCCGGAUGAGUUCGCGCCCUAUCAGCUUGUUGGCGGGGUAACGGCCCACCAAGGCGAUGACGGGUAGCUGGUCUGAGAGGAUGACCAGCCACACUGGAACUGAGACACGGUCCAGACACCUACGGGUGGCAGCAGUCGAGAAUCAUUCACAAUGGGCGAAAGCCUGAUGGUGUGACGCCGCGUGGAGGAUGAAGGUCUUCGGAUUGUAAACUCCUGUCAUGUGAGAGUAAAGCCGGACGUUAACUGCGUGCCGGUCUGAGAGUAUCACAAGAGGAAGAGACGGCUAACUCUGUGCCAGCAGCCGCGGUAAUACAGAGGUCUCAAGCGUUGUUCGGAAUCACUGGGCGUAAAGGGUGCGUAGGCCGCACGGUAAGUC